CCUACGGGGGGCAGCAGUGAGGAAUAUUGGUCAAUGGACGCAAGUCUGAACCAGCCAUGCCGCGUGCAGGAAGACGGCUCUAUGGGUUGUAAACUGCUUUUGUACGAGGGUAAACGCAGAUACGCGUAUCUGUCUGAAUGUAUCGUACGAAUAAGGAUCGGCUAACUCCGUGCCAGCAGCCGCGGUAAUACGGAGGAUGCGAGCGUUAUCCGGAUUUAUUGGGGUUAAAGGGUGCGUAGGCGGAAUGCCAAGUCAGCGGUAACAUCGCGGGGCUAAACCUCGCUCCGCCGUUGAAACUGGCGUGCUUGAGUGGGCGUGAAGUAUGCGGAAUGCGUGGUGUAGCGGUGAAAUGCAUAGAUAUCACGCAGAACUCCGAUUGCGAAGGCAGCAUACCGGAGUGCAACUGACGCUGAAGCACGAAAGCGUGGGUAUCGAACAGGAUUAGAUACCCGGGUAGUC
rnacentral:rRNA from 1 species